CCUGAGAAACCCAAAAGAUCGAAUGGGGAGAUUCAUCGCCAGCGUCGCUAGCUUCCGUGCGGUUCACGAUGACCGGGACCUUGGUCUCGCGUCACGCGUCCGCUGCGGUAUGUCCGGCUACGUCGGCGUGCACUUCUCCCCUAGUAGGACGUCGCGACCCGUUGGGUGUCGGACCGAUGAUCGUUUGGUCGCCUGUCUCGUCGCGUUAACGCGUGUACGUGGCAGACCGAAAUGGUCGAGCGUCCGGCUGCCCGGCGGUAUAGAACGCUAUUGAACGGUAAUGAGCCGCAUUAAGUGCGUUCAGGCUCGUCGGCAGGCUCGUCUCGCCCGGAUUUACGGACCUAGUGCCGUUGCCGGGCGCUUGGCGCGGCUGUUAGUCGACGAUGUCCUCGGACUGGCUCUAAAAUUCGAAAGGAUUACCGGUCGGCGACGCUACUGCUUUGGGUACUUUC
rnacentral:rRNA from 1 species